rnacentral:lncRNA from 1 species
GUGGAGUAUGAGGUGAGAGAUCAAUGAAAAUAUAGCACCAGAUCUGAAACCAGAAACUUAUUUCCCAUUUUUAAAUUGCUUUCUGGAAGUAUUCCUAGUCAAAAGUAUUCUACCAUGUAGGCAGAGUUCAGGAAGGAAAAGGUCACAAACACACCAUGUUGUGAUUAUCUAGGUAUUUUGCUGACAACCCCGCUAAAGCCAGAAGAAAAAUGUCCAUUUUUCAGUGACUUGUAUGGAGCAAGACUGCCUUCCAAUUCCAGAGACUAGCAGAUGAUAGGUUUUUCUUGUUGUUGUUAAUCUCCUUAAUUGAGCUUUGUGAUGGAAUUUCCUUUCAGGAUUAAAGCAAACACCACCCAGGUUCCCUGUAGGUGGUUAGAAACUCCCUGGAGGCCAGAGAAGUUUCAGAACACCAAAUCUGCUGCCUGCUGAGUCCUUAUACUUGGUGGUACCUGGUGUGUGGUCCACAAUGCCAUGGAGCAGCACUUUCCCUGCUGUGCGCCACAGGCUUGGUAUCCUGCAGUCCAGGCGCCAGAGCUCCAGAGGCCUCCAACCUUGAGCUCAAUAUAUCAGCCAGAGUAGAAGGGCCCCAGUCGCUGCCCUUCUACAUCCAGCCACUGCCCUUCUACAUCCAGCCACAAAUUAUCACCCAUUACAGAAGAAUUGCACUGUGACCUGCAUUCCACACCCCAGGGACGUUUUCUCUGGCAUUGGUCAUGGAAAGAUGACUCUCCCAGAGCACAGGGCACCUUGCAUCAGGACACAGAGCCUCCUGUCCAGGACCAGGUGUCUGCGAAGCCGCAGGCACCUCCAGGAAAAUCAGGGGUCUUGAAGGUGCCCUGCCAUUGACCACCUGCUGAGGCUCCCUUGUGUUCCAGGUGCUCAGUGAGGGAGGUCUAGAGGCCAAGACCUCUGGUGGUAACCCUUGUAAGAGCCCUCUUCCCCCUUCCCCCGCCAGUGGCCAGAAGAAAAACCAAGGCUGCUGGGAAUGGAUCCGGGCCCUUCUGUGCAAGACUCCCUGAGGCUGCUUGAGUCUGUAACCUUUGGGACCCAGGAGCACUGAGAUUUCCCCUGCAAACAUGUUUGGAGGAGUGUUUUGGAAGGGAUCACCUAGAAGUAAAGCUUGUGUUUGCUAGUCCACCAUGGAGGUUUCAGAGCUCUUGUGCACUUUUCUUUGGCUUCCUCAAUAAAAUUGUGCCAAAACG